rnacentral:rRNA from 1 species
AUUGAACGCUGGCGGCAUGCCUUACACAUGCAAGUCGAACGGCAGCAUGGAGAGCUAGCUCUCUGAUGGCGAGUGGCGAACGGGUGAGUAAUGCAUCGGAACGUACCGUGUAAUGGGGGAUAACGUAGCGAAAGUUACGCUAAUACCGCAUACGACCUGAGGGUGAAAGCAGGGGAUCGCAAGACCUUGCGUUAUACGAGCGGCCGAUGUCAGAUUAGCUAGUUGGUGAGGUAAAGGCUCACCAAGGCGACGAUCUGUAGCGGGUCUGAGAGGAUGAUCCGCCACACUGGGACUGAGACACGGCCCAGACUCCUACGGGAGGCAGCAGUGGGGAAUUUUGGACAAUGGGGGCAACCCUGAUCCAGCCAUGCCGCGUGAGUGAAGAAGGCCUUCGGGUUGUAAAGCUCUUUCGGCCGGGAAGAAAUCGCACAGGCUAAUACUCUGUGUGGAUGACGGUACCGGCAUAAGAAGCACCGGCUUACUACGUGCCAGCCGCCGCAGUAA